rnacentral:rRNA from 1 species
GAAUAUUGGACAAUGGGCGAAAGCCUGAUCCAGCCAUGCCGCGUGUGUGAAGAAGGUCUUCGGAUUGUAAAGCACUUUAAGUUGGGAGGAAGGGGUUGAAGCUAAUACCUUCAAUCUUUGACGUUACCAACAGAAUAAGCACCGGCUAACUCUGUGCCAGCAGCCGCGGUAAUACAGAGGGUGCAAGCGUUAAUCGGAAUUACUGGGCGUAAAGCGCGCGUAGGUGGUUCAGUAAGAUGGAAGUGAAAUCCCCGGGCUUAACCUGGGAACUGCUUUCAUAACUGCUGAGCUAGAGUACGGUAGAGGGUAGUGGAAUUUCCUGUGUAGCGGUGAAAUGCGUAGAUAUAGGAAGGAACACCAGUGGCGAAGGCGACUACCUGGACUGAUACUGACACUGAGGUGCGAAAGCGUGGGGAGCAAACAG